rnacentral:rRNA from 1 species
AUGUCAUUUCUCCAUUCAAGAGAGGGACUUGGAGCCGAGACGGGGGAAGACAAGUCAUUCUCUAGCGCUAGAAUCACUUCCACAGUGGAGUCACUCCCUCUCCCUGUCUUCCUCGAACUCCCUCAGAUCCGCACGAACCCGACCUUCCCCUCUCAAUCCAAGCAGCGACGGGACAACCAUAGGCGGGCAGGAAUCCAUCCAGCGGGGGCAAUGGCAGCCGGAGGGGUGUCGCGUCUGUGGAGGGAAUGGGGGAUUCAAAUCCUUGUCCUUCUGAGCUUCGCGCUGCAAGUACUCCUCCUCGUCUUCGGAGGGAUGCGUCGGCGUGGCCUCUCCACCUGGCUGAGGGUAGCCCUCUGGUUAGCGUACCUGUCGGCGGAUUCCACGGCGAUAUACACCCUGAGCCAUCUAUCCAUCACCAGCGGGUCACGUGAGCACCAGCUGGCCGCGUUCUGGGCGCCCUUCCUCCUCCUGCAUCUCGGCGGGCCAUACAACGUCACCGCCUACGCGCUCGAGGACAACCGUCUUUGGUUGCGCCACCUGCAGACCCUUGUUGUGCAGGUUCUUGGAGCUGCUUAUGUCCUCUACAAGUACAUGGCCGACAGCGGGACCUUGCUUCAGCUGGCCUCAAUCUCCAUGUUUGUUGCCGGCAUUGUCAAGUACGGUGAGAGGACAUGGGCUCUCAAGCGUGCCAACGACAACAAGAGCAGCUCUGGUAAGGAGGUUAACCCUUAUGAAUUAUUGAGACAGGAUAUGGGUGACGAUGAAAUCCUGCUCCGAGCGCACUCCCAGUUCGCCUUCUGCAAGUCCGGCUUCGACGAUACCAAGGUGGCAAUGCGCCCCAAGCCCCCAAACGCGGCUUCACCUCGUCUCUCACCUUUCUAUGACGAGGAUAUAUUCAAGUUGGUGGAGAUGGAGCUGUCCCUGAUGUACGACACACUGUACACCAAGGCAGCAGUGAUCCACACCAGGGUUUUGGUUACCGCUCGAAAUUUCGAGAUUUACCGUGGUUACCGCAUAUUUCAGUCCCCCUCGGUAAAUGGGCAUUUCUAG